AGUAGUCAUAUGCUGUUUUCUCAGAUUAAGCCAUGCAAGUCUAAGUGUAAGUGUACGUGCGAAACUGCGAACAGCUCAUUACAACUGUUAUUAUCUCUACGACUGCAACUCUCGAUGGAUAUCCAUGGUAAUUCUGUAGUUAAUACACAUUUAUAAUAAACGCCGAUGGUAUGACAGGAGAAUCGCCGAAAGGUCGUGUGAAUUUCAGUCCUAUCAGCUCUCAUCUGUAAGGUAGCGGCUUACAAAGGCUGUGACGGGUGACGGGGAAUUAGGGUUCGAUUCCGGAGAGGGAGCCUGAGAAACAGCUACCACAUCCAAGGAUGGCAGCAGGCGCGUAAAUUACCCAAUCUCAAAACGAGGAGGUAGUUACCAGAAGUAGUGACUGGGGCAUAUGCUCCAUGAUUACAAUGAGCGAGGUUUACAACAUCUCGCGAGAAUCAAUUGGAGGGCAAGUCUGGUGCCAGCAGCCGCGGUAAUUCCAGCUCCAAUAGCGUAUAUUAAAAUUGCUGCAGUUAAAGCGUCCGUAGUCGAACUCAGUCUUCUGUUACUUUGAGUAAAUUGGAGUGUUCCUAGCAAGCUUGUGCAUGUACAUUUCAGCAUGGGAUAAUAUGAAUUCAAUUUAAAUCAUCUGUGGGCGAUGAUUAAAUUAUGAUCAAAAGGACUCGCGGGGAUAUUUGUACUUGCGGGUGAGAGGUGAAAUUCUUAGACCCCGCAAAGACAGUCGACGGCGAAAGCAUUUAUCCAGCGAUUGUUCAUUGAUCAAGGACGAAAGUUGGGGAAUCGAAGAUGAUUAGAUACCGUCGUAGUCCCAACUAUAAACAGUGCUAACUGAGGGUUGGGGCUAAACUCCAUGAGAAAUCCAAGUAUUUGAGUCCUGGGGGGAGUAUGGUCGCAAGGCUGAAACUUAAAGGAAUUGACGGAAGGGCACCACCAGGAGUGGAGCCUGCGGCUUAAUUUGAGUCAACACGGGGAAACUUACCAGGUCAAAACAUUGCGUUGAUUGACAGAUUGAGAGUUCUUUCUUGAUUCUUUGGGUGGUGGUGCAUGGCCGUUCUUAGUCGGUGAGUUGACUUGUCUGGUUAAUUCCGAUAACGGACGAGACCUCGGCCUGCCAAUUGGCUUCACCUCUUUGAGGGCUUCGUGAGUCUAUCUCGAGGAAGUUCGAGCCUAUAACAGGUCCGUAAUGCCCUUAGAUGAUCUGGGCUGCACGUGUGCUACAAUGGCGGAUCCAGCAAGAAGCUUGUGAAACUCCGCCAUACUAGGGAUCAACCCUUGCAAUUGUGGGUUGUGAACCAGGAAUUCCUAGUAAAGAUGUGUCAUAAUCACAUGUUGAUUAUGUCCCUGCCCUUUGUACACACCGCCCGUCGCUUCAACUGAUUGGAUGAUCCGGCAAAUUACAUGGACGUUAAAAUGCUGUGAGCCUUAUCUUCUAGAGGAUGAAGAAGUCGUAACACGGUAUCC
rnacentral:rRNA from 1 species